rnacentral:lncRNA from 1 species
AUGAUGCGUAUGUGUAUUAAAUGCAAUCCUUAUCUUAAAGAUACACUGUUCCGGAAGCGUCUAUACUCUCUGUACUUAGAGCCUUUGCAUGCUGCAAACCCUUUGGCUUGGCACGGUUGUGCAGGCGGCUGCCGCUGGGAGCCGGAGCCUCCCUCCUCCGCCCCCUUCGCCCUGCGGCCGACGAGAGCCGGGCCAGGGCCGUGGGGCCGGGGGGCUGCGGGAAUGCGGGGCUGGGGACCCGGGGGGCUGCGGGCUGGGGCUGCGGGGCUGCAGGGCGGCGGGGCAGGGAGCUGCGGCUCACGUGAUGCCGUGCUCGCAUACCGAUGUUUAAAGGUCUUAAUGGAGAGGGGAAAAAAAAAAAAAGUGUGGAUGCACUUAAAUUUCAAGUUUGGGAAUGGAUUUCUCUUUUCCCUGUCUGCCUGCCGGUGCGAAGGCUGGCUGAAACCCGCUAGCCCAUGCAAACGUGUCUACUCCAGAGAGAUGGGACCCUCCAGAAGAAACCUGCCCAGCAAUCCCAGCGAGCCUUCCCGCCAGAAGGAUGCCAGGAGGUACUGCCUCUACCUGCGACAAAGGCGCACGAUGGCACUUGGGGACGGGAGUCCUCCGCCGGCACCGGCAGCUGCUGCUUUACAACCUGUAGAGAUAAGACGGCCUCCCAUCAGAUGA